CUUUUCCCCCGGCCAAUCGCGGCUCGCCAUUUCCAUCUUUCGGCCGACGGCCAAUCGCGGCGCCUCAUUUCCAUCUUUUCCCCCGGCCAAUCGCGGCUCGCCAUUUCCAUCUUUCCCCGAGGCCAAUCCCUGCCGGCUUCCGGCCAGUACGAAAAUAAACCCGGGAACGGGAGCCGGCCGCGGUGUUUACGGCUGAAGCCGCUUCAAGUGUCCCGGUCCGCUUCUGCCGCUCUCAGGUUUCAUCCGCCGACAUAAUGAGGCAACAGCCUGAAUCUCCAGCUGUGGCUCCGGAGGGCCUCCAUAGAUGAACCAGGACUGUUAGGCUGCAUCCCUGGUAGUGAAGCCCCCCUCACUGCUUUCAGCCACUCAGGGGACCCUUUUCACUGUGUCAACAUCUACAGCGUCAGGGUGCUCGGGAGGAAGCGGGGCCUCUUUUCAGCCGCCUGCUGUUUACUCUGGGUGUAGAUGAGCGCAGUGUCCCAGGGAUGGACCGAGUGGACAGCCUGGCAGAGUAUU